GGGUCUAAAGGGUCCGUAGCCGGUUGGUCGAGUCCUCCGGGAAAUCUGAUAGCUCAACUAUUAGGCUUUCGGGGGAUACUGCCAGACUUGGAACCGGGAGAGGUAAGAGGUACUACAGGGGUAGGAGUGAAAUCUUGUAAUCCCUGUGGGACCACCUGUGGCGAAGGCGUCUUACCAGAACGGGUUCGACGGUGAGGGACGAAAGCUGGGGGCACGAACCGGAUUAGAUACCCGGGUAGUCCCAGCCGUAAACGAUGCUCGCUAGGUGUCAGGCAUGGCGCGACCGUGUCUGGUGCCGCAGGGAAGCCGUGAAGCGAGCCACCUGGGAAGUACGGCCGCAAGGCUGAAACUUAAAGGAAUUGGCGGGGGAGCACAACAACGGGUGGGAAGCCUGCGGUUUAAUUGGACUCAACGCCGGACAACUCACCGGGGGCGACAGCAAUAUGUAGGCCAAGCUGAAGACUUUGCCUGAAUCGCUGAGAGGGGUGGUGCAUGG
rnacentral:rRNA from 1 species